UACGGAGGGUGCAAGCGUUAUCCGGAUUCACUGGGUUUAAAGGGUGCGUAGGCGGUCUUCUAAGUCAGUUGUGAAAUACUUCAGCUUAACUGGAGAGGUGCAAUUGAUACUGGAAGACUUGAGUACUGAUGAGGUAGGCGGAAUGGACGGUGUAGCGGUGAAAUGCUUAGAUAUCGUCCAGAACACCGAUAGCGAAGGCAGCUUACUAAGGAGUAACUGACGCUGAGGCACGAAAGUGUGGGGAUCAAACAGG
rnacentral:rRNA from 1 species